GCGAGCUUAGUUUAUAUAAAAUGAUAGUUUGUCUCACUGUAGUUGACUUUGGUCAGUUCGCU
rnacentral:tRNA from 1 species